UACAGAGGGGGCAAGCGUUGUUCGGAAUUACUGGGCGUAAAGGGCGCGUAGGCGGCCCGCUAAGUCGAACGUGAAAUCCCCGAGCUCAACUCGGGAACUGCGUCCGAUACUGGCGGGCUUGAAUCCGGGAGAGGGAUGCGGAAUUCCAGGUGUAGCGGUGAAAUGCGUAGAUAUCAGGAGGAACACCAGUGGCGAAGGCGGCUCUCUAGUACGGUACUGACGCUGAGACGCGAAAGCGUGGGGAGCGAACAGG
rnacentral:rRNA from 1 species